GGCGGCGUAGCUCAGUUGGUUAGAGCGCAGGACUCAUAAGCCUGAGGUCACUGGUUCAAUUCCAGUCGCCGCUACCA
rnacentral:tRNA from 1 species